GGAGGAGUCGCAUAGUGGCCUAGUGCGCGCGCUUGGAAAGCGCGUGUCGCCUCACGGCGACCGUGGGUUCGAAUCCCACCCCCUCCGCCA
rnacentral:tRNA from 1 species